rnacentral:rRNA from 1 species
UACGUAGGGUGCGAGCGUUAAUCGGAAUUACUGGGCGUAAAGCGUGCGCAGGCGGUCUCGUAAGCUGGGUGUGAAAGCCCCGGGCUUAACCUGGGAACGGCAUUCAGGACUGCGAGGCUCGAGUGUGGCAGAGGGAGGUGGAGUUCCACGUGUAGCAGUGAAAUGCGUAGAGAUGUGGAGGAACACCGAUGGCGAAGGCAGCCUCCUGGGCCAGCACUGACGCUCAUGCACGAAAGCGUGGGGAGCAAACAGG